AUUGAACGCUGGCGGCAGGCCUAACACAUGCAAGUCGAGCGGAUGAAGGGAGCUUGCUCCUGGAUUCAGCGGCGGACGGGUGAGUAAUGCCUGGAAUCUGCCUGGUAGUGGGGGAUAACGUCCGGAAACGGGCGCUAAUACCGCAUACGUCCUGAGGGAGAAAGUGGGGGAUCUUCGGACCUCACGCUAUCAGAUGAGCCUAGGUCGGAUAAGCUAGUUGGUGGGGUAAAGGCCUACCAAGGCGACGAUCCGUAACUGGGCUGAGAGGAAGAUCAGUCACACUGGAACUGAGACACGGUACAGACUCCUACGGGAGGCAGCAGGGGGGAAUAUUGGACAAUGGGCGAAAGCCUGAUCCAGCCAUGCCGCGUGUGUGAAGAAGGUCUUAGGAUUGUAAAGCACUUUAAGUUGGGAGGAAGGGCAGUAAGUUAAUACCUUGCUGUUUUGACGUUACCAACAGAAUAAGCACCGGCUAACUUCGUG
rnacentral:rRNA from 1 species